CUGCUUUCCUAUCUGUUUACCUGUUGUCUGAACGUCUUUCUGUCUGUCUCCCUGUCUGUCUGUCUGUCUCCGUGUCUGUCUCUCUAUCUGGUUUCCUGUCUGGCUUUGUGCCUGGCUUCCUGUCUGUCUGACUCACUGUCUGUCUGUCAUUCUGUUUGUCUCCCUGUCUGUCUCCCUGUCUGUCUCCCUACCUGGCUUCCUGUCUGUCUCUCUGUCUUCCUGUCUGUCUGACUCACUGUCUGUCCGCCUUCCUAUCUGUUUACCUGUUGUCUGUCUUCCUGAAUGUCUUUCUGUCUGUCUCCCUGUCUGUCUGUCUGUCUCCGUGUCUGUCUCUCUACCUGGUUUCCUGUCUGGCUUUGUGCCUGGCUUCCUGUCUGUCUCUCUGUCUUCCUGUCUGUCUGACUCACUGUCUGUCUGCCUUCCUGUCUGUUUACUUGUCUGUCUGUCUCCCUGUCUCUCUCCCUAACUGUGUGUCUGUCUCCCUGUCUGCCUAUCUGUCUCCCUGUGUCUCUCUCUCUGUCUGUCCAUCUCCCUCCCUUCCUGUCUGUCUGUCUGUGUAACUGCUGCUGCUGUCUCUGUAUCUGUCUGCCUGUCUGUCUCACUGUCUUUCUGUAUAACAUCGUCUAUUUUUGUAUCUAAUGAAAAACAACAGUUCUUUAAGAGUUCCUUAACUUUCUACAAAUGUUUCUUUCGCUUUUUCAUGAUAUAUUCAGAAUUCCUAUCUCAUAAUUUAAGUCAGUAUGACUCACUAACUGCGGCUUAAGCGCCUCAAAUUCAUUCCCUGGUUAAAAACGACACAGAGUAAUCAGAGAAAGAGAGCGAGACGACCAUCUGACACGCUCUUAGAGCAGUACGCCUCCGAGUACACUACCACUGCUUCCAGUUUCAUUUCAAAAUAAAAACCUGAUAACUAGGUUAAAGUGUGAGUGUGUUAUGUAAAGAAUAAACGACUCAGUGUCGUGGAAAAGAAUCAAAUGAUGAAGAGGAGUCACUGUUACUACACUGAUUACUUUCCUACAGCAGUUGUAACAGUGUCGUAUUUAUCAAAGACUGACACGUCAUGCUUUUCAUCUGUUUAUAGUGACAGUACUGGUGUAGUUCAUAUCCUCCCUUACGUUAUAGCAGCUAUAAAUGCUCCUCUCUCACCAGCCCUCUCUUUUUUCCUCUCUCUUAAAGUUAUAAGACAAAAACAAGCAGUUUGUCACUCCUCUGUCCUGAAGUACCUCGAAAAACUUAAACUUACAGCUUUACCUCUGACUGAUGCAAACCACUGACGCUGGAGACAUUAAAAACAUGCUUUUUAAUCCGUUUAUGUGGCGCGCACGCUUCACAAGUCUGUGCUGUUACUAUAGAAACAAUGAAGUAUUCGAAUAAAUAAUAUGAAGCUGUGAUUUGCAGCUGCGCUACUGUCCGAGCUGCUGUUCGGAAAGAUAAGUUGCUGCGUGCGCGCGUGUGUGUGUGUGUGUGUGUGGUCUCGGAUGUAUAGGGUGUGUUCGGGGUGUGUGUGUGACUCUGUGUCAUGCGCUGCCAGCUGAAUAAUGAAGUGGAGCUCACACAGCGUGCUGGAGGAGAUAAGAGAGAUUCACUUCUCUCAGAUUUGGCAGACGAGUGUCCACUGAGACAGAUAAAAAAUUAACCACUCGCUCACACACAGCGCCUAAUUCAGGAUUUCGGGGGAAGAGAUGAUUCUGAGUGCGCACCAAACACACACACACACACAGGCUUCCCUCUCUCCAUUUCUAUUUCUUACGGUGAGAAUGGGAGCGAUGAUGUAAAAGGUGUGAGAUGUACCUAAUAGUGAGGGGAAUUCCAGCUCUUUAUUAGCGAGUCGGUGAAUUAUUUGACUCAUAAAUAAGAGUCGACUCUUUCGCCUCCCAAACCACUUUUUUUUUUUUAAAUAAAAGUUGUUAGACUGAAUCAGUGAAUCAGCUGCGUGUCAUCAAAUGUGCACUGACAUCAACAAACUUUAAUUGUCCCUGCUGCACUGUUUGUGCUUAAUUAAGAAGAUUUAAGGUCCUAGGUCUAGGUCCUACCUGUGACUAGGUCUAGGUCCUACCUGUGACUAGGUCUAGAUCAGACCUGUGACUAGGUCUAGAUCCUACCUGUGACUAGGUCUAGGUCCUACCUGUGACUAGGUCUAGAUCCUACCUGUGACUAGUUCCUGUUAACAGUUUGACGAACCGUGGUUUUAUCUUAUCCUCUCACUGCUACUUCCUUCCAAGUUGUUUUGGUCUUCAUAAUGUCUCCGAACACACGUAUACUUUUAUACACAUGUAAUGAGAGGUCGUACAUCAGUCGAGUGAGCGACCUCUCAUUACAUGUGUAUAAAAGCAUUACGUGCGUUCAGAGACGUUAUGAAGAACGAAAUAGCUUGGAAGGAAGUAGCAGUGAGCGCACGUAGCUAAUACAGUUAGCUUGCUUUGCUAAUCUUAUCUGAGAACAAAGCUAGUACGAAGCCGAGCAUGCGACAUGUAACACAAAUAUAUGUGUAUAAAUAGUACAGCAGAGUGCAGGAUGUAGAUUUUCACUACUGUUUCUGGACAGGCCACGCCCACAAUCAACAACAGUAACGCUGCUACACACACACACACACACACUCAUUUAAUAUGACAUUAUAAUCUCCUGAAAAUUAUGAUCAGAGUCAGCGUUAUGAUCAGGGUCGAACCGUUUCAGUCGGAGGGAACCGUACCGGAAAAGCUUUUGUUGUGCAACUGUACUGGACACAACACACACUCACACACACACACACACAAGCAGUUGAAGAGCUGCUCACACCUCAAUACAACAACUCUAAAUAUACACCAUAUGUUUACAGCCUGCGCUUCUCUUCCACUCUGAGUCACUACAGGAACAGGAUCAUGAGCGCAAAACUCUGAUAUAGAAACCCUGUACGUCCUGCCCUGCUGGAAAAUACUACAGAAACCCUGAUAGAAUUUGUAAUGGUUUUAAUGGUUAUAAUGGGAAUUGUAUUGGUUGUAAUGGAAACUGUAAUACUCCCUGUGAGUCUCUACUGGUAAUUUGUUGCCUUCUAUUGGUCUAGUAAAUACCAUUAAGGACCACUAAUGGUAAUGGUUUAAUGGUUAGCUGAUGGAUUGUAAUGGUAUUUGUACUGGAAACCAUUAGAAUUUCUGUGAUGGUUUCUACUGGGGUUUUUUUUUUCCAGCUGGGAAGUUUCCAACCGCCUGCUUGAGGAGCACGAUGUAUUUCUCAUAUUAUCAUUAAACAUGAACAUUUUGGCCAAAACGAGAUUUUGUAAGUGACGCCAUGUUUAAAGCGCUGAUAAUCCUGAUAAGUUUGAACAUCUUUAAUAUCGAUUACUUCUGUUUUAUAAGAGUCAAAAAGCGGUUUUAGUGAAAUGGGGCUUUGUGUGAAGGGUUUAUGCUAUGCAUCAUGAUAUUUAGGUAUGCAAACCAAAGUGGCAGAGAAAAAAAAGACAUUAAAAUAGUGACAGUUUUUAAACAUUUGCACAGUAAAGAGAGAGAGAAAGAGAGAGAAAGAGACAGAAUGACUCAUCUAGUACACCAGAAUAUUUUUAAUGUUCGAUCUUACAAACAUUACUGCUCACAGUGACUAAACAUAACUAUAAAAGGGUAAUAAAGUACGGCUGAUAAAAAGCCACACUGACAAUAUUAAAGCAGCGGUGUGUAAAGUUUAAGCGCCCUCUUGCUGCCUGGAACUGCGACUGCAAUUAGAUAACAGACCCCCCUUCACUUCACUUUCCCCCUCCCACCGCCGUUAUUAAAGCUAUUUGAAGGGGUGGAGCUAGGCAUGUGGACAGAGCAUAUUUCAGGGCUGGAAAACUGUAAAAAGGCCAAAAUGAUUUUUUAUUUUUAUUUUAAUUGGCCUGAUCCAGAUUCAGGGAAUUACAUCACAGCAAACAGCUUCCCAGGUAUUUAUAAUGAUACACAAUAGAAUUGUGGGAUUGACUCCACAGACCUGUUCAUUCAUUUAAUUAUGUAUUUAUUUAAUUUUCAGGAAAAAAAAUAUUCGUGGCCACAGUCACUGUUUAUGGUCUGCACUCAUAUAGUGCUUUUUUAACCUUAGCAGCUCCAAAGCGCUUUACACUGUGUCUCACUCACCCAUUCACACACACACACACUCACACACCAAUGGGAGCAGAGCUGUGAGGCGCUAACUUGCCAUCGGGAGCAACUUGGGGUUCAGUGUCUCGCCCAAGGACACUUCGGUAUGUGGAGUCACGUGGGCCGGGAAUCGAACCUCCAACAAUGCGAUUAGUGGGCAACCCGCUCUACCACCUGAUCCACAACCGUACAUUUAUUUAUUAUAUAUUUAUUUAGUUAUUUAUUUAUUUGUUUGUUCGUUUUAUGCAUGUAACCCUGUUCCCUGAAAAGGGAAUGAGACGUUGCAUGAGCUCAACAAUGUGGGAAGUGCCCUCACGCGUGACCGGCAUCUGAAGUUUGUGUAACAUCAUGCCUAUUUACAGGCCUGCCAUGAUCAGGUGACAUUGCAAUUAAGCGCGUCGCGUGAUGUAAAAACGGAACCUGUGAACCGCGCCAUCAGCCUCCAUUAUCUGAAGCGAAGACGCAGUACACAGACAUGCUCCAGUAUGACAAAGCUAUGCAAUGUCUCGUCCCCUUCUAGGGAACAGGGUUACAUGCAUAACUCAGACGUUGCCUUUCAAAGGGAACUCACCGUUGCGUGAGCUUCACACUGUGGGAACGAGAACACCCACUCCAUCAUACUAAGGGUAUGGCCUGUUCCCAAAAGAUCUGAGCCCAAGGGUCACUGCAAGACACUCGAGCCCAGGGUGGAAUGUAUAUCCAGGCUGUAAUAUCAAAUGAAUGUGUGCGGCAUAGACCACCCCGCUGCAGCACACACACCCUGUAAGGGUACCCUUUUGGACAAAACCUUCGAGGAGGCGGAACCCCUAGUGCUCCAGCUUAUGCCACUGGCCAGAGCGG
ensembl:lncRNA